rnacentral:rRNA from 1 species
UUAUUCUUUUAUUCAUUUUUCACGAACUUUUUUUCAAAAUGUCAUCAAAAUAGGUGCUCUGGAGGAGGACAACGUGCUGGUGAUGAAGAGCGCCAGCAACGGCGGCGGCGGCGCGCCAACCGGAAGCGGAAGUGGGAGGACGAGGAGGGGGACUGUCGGUACAUCCGGCUGGAGCGUCGCGCGUCGCCGCAGUCAUUCAUGCGCAAAUUCCGGCUGCCGGAGGACGCGGACGCGGGCGCCGUGGCCGCGCUGCGAGAACGGCGUGCUCACCGUCACCGUCAAGAAGCAGCCGCCACCGGAGAAGAAGACCAAGUCCGUCCAGGUCGCCAUCGC